UCUUUAUGGUUUAAAUAUAAGGUCUAGCCUGCCCACUGACAAAAGUUGAAGGGCCGCGGUAAUUUGACCGUGCGAAGGUAGCAUAAUCAUUAGCCACUUAAUUGGAGGAUGGAAUGAAGGGUUGGAUGAGAAGUAAACUGUCUUUUUAUUGAAGUUUGAAUUUUACUUUUAAGUGAAAAGGCUUUAAUUUAAUGAAGUGAAGAUAAGACCCUAUAAAACUUUACAUAAAUUUGAGAUAUAUUUAUUCUAUAUUGUGAAGCAUAAUACAUCUAAUCUAUGUUUUGUUGGGGCGACAGGAAUAGAAAUAAAAUAUCUGUUUUUUUAAUAAGUUAUUAAUAAGUAAAAAAUGAUCCUUUUGUAAAGAUUAGAAGAUUAAGUUACUUUAGGGAUAACAGCGUGAUUUUCUUUGAGAGUUCUUAUCGACAAGAGUAGUUGCGACCUCGAUGUUGAAUUAAAAUUUAUCUUCUAAGUGUAGCAGCUUAGGUAGUAAGUCUGUUCGACUUUUAAAUUUUUACA
rnacentral:rRNA from 1 species